rnacentral:lncRNA from 1 species
UUAAACCCCUUUGAGCUUAUUUUAGGAUUCAUUUGAUUGAUCAUUGAAAAAUCAAUUGAAAAUUGUGGAAUAAAUGAAUCCUAAUUUCUUUCGUAUCAGUUGAAACCUCAAACCGAGUUGUUUGCAAAAUUUUGCCUUUUGCUUAUGUCUAAGUAGGGAGCAUUAUUGAAUAAAUUUGGUUUUGGAAUCUAAAGUUGGGGAGAGUAAAGUGAAAAGUUGAUUAGAAACUUGGAAAAGUGAAUUGUUAUAAAAGGGUGAAAAAUUUGAAAAGAAACAAGAAAAAGAAAAUACCCUUGAAACCAUAGAGCAUAGAAAAAAGAUUAGAAAAAAGAAAAGCAAAGAAAAUGCUCAUGGUUGUGUGGAGUUGAAAAGAAAAAAAAAAGAAAAAGAAAAAGAUAGGGACCAAGGAAAAGGAAAUUGUGUAGAGUUGAAUGUUUGGGAAUGCUCCCUUAGGAUAGGCAACUUUUUAAAUUCUCUUAAUCAUAUCCUUUCUUGUAACCUAAGCCACAUUACAACCU